GACGAACGCUGGCGGCGUGCCUAAUACAUGCAAGUCGAGCGAAGUUUUUCUGGUGCUUGCACUAGAAAAACUUAGCGGCGAACGGGUGAGUAACACGUAAAGAACCUGCCUCAUAGACUGGGACAACUAUUGGAAACGAUAGCUAAUACCGGAUAACAGUAUUUCUCGCAUGAGAGAUAUUUAAAAGUUGGUUAUGCUAACACUAUGAGAUGGCUUUGCGGUGCAUUAGCUAGUUGGUGGGGUAAAGGCCCACCAAGGCGACGAUGCAUGGCCGACCUGAGAGGGCGAUCGGCCACACUGGGACUGAGACACGGCCCAGACUCCUACGGGAGGCAGCAGUAGGGAAUCUUCCGCAAUGGGCGAAAGCCUGACGGAGCAACGCCGCGUGAGUGAAGAAGGAUUUCGGUUCGUAAAGCUCUGUUGUUAGGGAAGAAUGGAUAUGUAGUAACUAUACAUGUAAGAGACGGUACCUAACCAGAAAGCCACGGCUAACUACGUG
rnacentral:rRNA from 1 species